AUCCACUGCUGGAAACACCACGUGGUCAAACCUCAACAAACACCUGCAAAGAACACAUGCUAAGGAGGAUCAAAGUAAACCAACAGCAGGAGGGUCGCAAACAAGGACAGCACCAAUGGUUUGGCCCUGAGGAGGACCAUGACGGUCAACCAAUGCCAAAAAGGAGGCGAACUGGAGAUAAACGGAAGCGGAGUUCGGUCACUGGUGCUUCAAGAAGCGUAGAUCUUGUAUGUACUCUACUAGUUGUCAAGAGAGCGAGACUGGGACCAUCCAAAGCUUAGGCUCCUUCAUACAAGAGGUACAAGAAGUUCUAGGAAUUCCUAGUGAAGAACCUCCCUCUUCACAGUGGAAGGAACGACAAGCAUCCACCUUGGAAAAGUGGACGGUGUUAAGGCCUUUUAUGGUUAAUCAGAUAUUAUCUUCUGAGAAACCUAAAGAGGGGGUUUGCCAACACUGUCGACAAAAGGUUGCAGUCGUCACAUGUCAAGAUUGUUUGCCAAGACCUCUUUCCUGUACUGCCUGUGAUGUUACCAUACACCAAUCGAGUGUACUCCACAACAGAUCUUCUAUGGUAGAAGGGUUCUUAAGGCCACUGUCACCAUCCACUCACAUCACAGAAGAUGAGGGAGGAAAGUUCUCAUACCAUGAAAGAGAAUGCUUCAUACCGAUAAUGCAUCCCUGCUGCGAUUGUGCUACUGGGCAAACAAGUAUUUCCAAAGGAAAGGAAGUAAUUUUGAUUGGAAUUAAUGGGCGAUACAAUCUGUUCCUUCCACAACUAAACUGCACCUGUGGAAAGACUUGGUCGAUAGGCAGAGGUGAUCUGGUUGAAAGUGGCUGGUUGAAAGUGGCUAUUGGCCAGCCACUGUCAAUUUUGAGACCUUGUACGCAGUGGAUUUGUUCACUACCUACGAAGAUCUCAAGAUCACUGCCCCUGGAACGCCAUAGCAAGCUUUUGUCAGCAUGCUUGAACAUCGGACAAAGCUCUUCGGUCGGGUGAGUACAAGAUGGAA